rnacentral:lncRNA from 1 species
CAAAAGGGAAAGAGAUUAAAAGGCAAAGAUCUCUGCAUUUAUGGCUUAAAGUUAAACCAUUGAUGAAGAAAAGGGAAGAGAGAAACAAGUAUAAGGUAGUUUCAAUGUAUCAAGAGAUUUGUAGAAAAACCAGAAGUAGAAAAGGCAAGAUUUGUUUACAAGAGUAGAAGCCAAAGGGUUAAAGAAAGAAAGAACCAAAAAAUUGAACAAAAAAGAAAACCAGAAAGAACCAACAAUAAUAUUA